rnacentral:rRNA from 1 species
AGUGAACGCUGGCGGCGUGCUUAACACAUGCAAGUCGAACGAGAACGGGUUAUAGCUUGCUAUAAUUGUCAGCUAAGUGGCGCACGGGUGAGUAAUGUAUAGGUAAUAUACCUCUUACUAAGGGAUAACAAAUGGAAACGUUUGCUAAUACCUUAUACUCCUUAUUAACAUAAGUUAAUAAGGGAAAGAUUUAUUGGUAAGAGAUUAGCCUGUAUUGUAUCAGUUAGUUGGUGGGGUAAUGGCUUACCAAGACUAUGACACAUAACUGGUUUGAGAGGAUGAUCAGUCACACUGGAACUGAGACACGGUCCAGACUCCUACGGGAGGCAGCAGUGGGGAAUAUUGCACAAUGGACGAAAGUCUGAUGCAGCAACGCCGCGUGGAGGAUGACACAUUUCGGUGCGUAAACUCCUUUUACCCGGGAUGAUAAUGACAGUACCGGGAGAAUAAGCUCCGGCUAACUCCGUGCCAGCCGCCGCGGUAA